UACGUAGGCAGCGAGCGUUGUUCGGAGUUACUGGGCGUAAAGGGUGUGUAGGCGGUUGUUUAAGUUUGGUGUGAAAUCUCCCGGCUCAACUGGGAGGGUGCGCCGAAUACUGAAUGACUUGGAGUGCGGGAGAGGUGAGUGGAAUUCCUGGUGUAGCGGUGAAAUGCGUAGAUAUCUGGAGGAACACCGGUGGCGAAGGCGGCAUCCUGGACCGGUAUUGACGCUGAGGCGCGAAAGCUAGGGGAGCAAACGGG
rnacentral:rRNA from 1 species